AUCAUUCCUGGGUUGUUUCAGGUUAGGUACGGGAUCGUUCCUGAGUUGUUUCAGGUUAGGUACGGGAUCGUUCCUGAGUUGUUUCAGGUUAGGUACGGGAUCGUUCCUGGGUUGUUUCAGGUUAGGUACGGGAUUGUUCCUGAGUUGUUUCAGGUUAGGAUCGUUCCUGAGUUGUUUCAGGUUAGGUACGGGAUCAUUCCUGGGUUGUUUCAGGUUAGGUACGGGAUCGUUCCUGAGUUGUUUCAGGUUAGGUACGGGAUCGUUCCUGAGUUGUUUCAGGUUAGGUACGGGAUCGUUCCUGAGUUGUU